rnacentral:tRNA from 1 species
UACCUGGUGGUCCAGUGGUUAAGACUCUGCACUCCCAAUGCAGGGGGCCCGGUUUCAAUCUCUGGUCAGAGAG